UGAACCUAACCUGUUACCUGUCUUUCUGUCAAUCAUUUCAUUUCUGUGUUGUCAUUGGUUGUUAGCAAUCCAAUCAGGGUACAUUUAUUGUUAAAGGGGCGGGACUAGCGCCGCAGAGUAGUCUGGCGCAGCGGUAAUUGGUGACAGAGACGCAGACGUUUUUCGACCAGAGAGCUAAGUCAGAAGCAUCGUGGGGUGGGGAGCAUUUUUGUUUUAUUCGUGGAGACUGACUACUCGUCGGCCUAAAAUACACUUUCUGUGUGACCUGCGAGAGACGGACGUGGGAGAAGAAGAGAGGUCGAGACGGGUUUCCAACGGACUGCUGUUUUUAUCGUCUUCAUUGGACUUUGCUGCUGUGUGUGUGUGAGAACUGUGACUGCCAUUGUCAUCGCCAUUACCAUCGCCAUGAACCUCAUGAGGUGACCAUCUUUUUCAACGUAAUCCCUACUAAUCCAUCCCGGGAUUCGUGAGUACUAACAAACCAUUGCAUAUGUUUUUUAUGGCUGAGUUCGGAGUGAAGUGGCCCUUACAGUUUUAGGCCCCACCGUACCCCAGCAUCGAUUAUCAGGCCUGUGACGGGUUUCAAUAUUAUUCCGUUAGUGUGUGUUAUAACUGCAAGGGUGUGUGGGCCACUCACCUGAAGGUCUUGUAGGUCCAUCGUUUAUUCACACCAUCAAAGUUAAUGAUGUGGUCUGUGAUGCUCUCAUUGAUAGUGGAUCUAAUGUGACUAUUAUUUUUAAAAACUGGUAUAGCAAUUACUAGAUGUCCCAAUAAAACCCCUCUCUGGUUUUGGACUCUGGGGUCUUGCUGAUACAGAGUAUCCUUACAAAGGGUAUGUUGUUGUUGUAGAGAUGGAGUUUGCAGAAGAGAUCACUGGUGUGUUGGGACAAGUGGAAGUGCUCGCUCUGAUUUGUCCUGAGCAAGGAAACCAACAACAAACCCCUGUGCUGAGAUGUGUGCUGUGGACACCGUUACCCCAAUCCAGCCUUCCGACCUCACAGUUAAUACUUUAGAUCUAAACCUCUUCAAUUUCGGGGAUUCCCCCAUCCCUGAAGAGUGGAAGAGUCGGCUUCGGUGGAAGUUGGCUGAGAGGCGGAAUGUUUUCUCACUGCAUGAGUGGGAUGUUGGCUUGGCCAAGGGGGUUGAACAUCACAUACGACUGCAUGACAACAGGCCUUUCAGAGAAAGGUCAAGGAGACUAGCUCCUGCAGACAUUGAUGAUGUGAGGCGACAUAUACAACAACUGCUGGCCGCUGGAAUUAUCACCGGGUCCCGUAGCCCCUACGCCUCACCAAUCGUUGUAGUUCGCAAGAAGAACUGGACUAUAAGAAUCUGUAUCAGCUACAGAACUCUUAACAACCGCACUACAUGAGACCUGGGUUACACUACAGUAGGUCGCAAAAACUACUGUUUUAAAGAAAAAUGUCUAAAUAAAAUAAUUCCACUGUUUUCAUCUUUUCCAA